GGUGAACGCUGGCGGUAGGCCUAACACAUGCAAGUCGAACGGCAGCACAGGAGAGCAUGCUCUCUGGGUGGCGAGUGGCGGACGGGUGAGGAAUACAUCGGAAUCUACUCUGUCGUGGGGGAUAACGUAGGGAAACUUACGCUAAUACCGCAUACGACCUACGGGUGAAAGCAGGGGACCUUCGGGCCUUGCGCGAUUGAAUGAGCCGAUGUCGGAUUAGCUAGUUGGCGGGGUCAAGGCCCACCAAGGCGACGAUCCGUAGCUGGUCUGAGAGGAUGAUCAGCCACACUGGAACUGAGACACGGUCCAGACCCCUACGGGAGGCAGCAGUGGGGAAUAUUGGACAAUGGGCGCAAGCCUGAUCCAGCCAUACCGCGUGGGUGAAGAAGGCCUUCGGGUUGUAAAGCCCUUUUGUUGGGAAAGAAAUCCAGCUGGCUAAUACCCGGUUGGGAUGACGGUACCCAAAGAAUAAGCACCGGCUAACUUCGUGCCAGCCGCCGCCGUAA
rnacentral:rRNA from 1 species